ACCGACCUCCUACAUGGGAACAGAGGGUUUAAGCCCAAAUCACAAACCAGACUGUAAAGAUCGAGGAGGCUGCAAAAAAUAAGAUUAAUUCUAUGACCGGGAAUAAAGUCAAUGAUGCCAGGUGCCAAGUUUGAAAUCCCUCGAGAAAAUUGGACUUAUUCAAGAUGGCUGACCUGAACGUAGCAUGUCUAUACAGAUGUGCUCUCAGUGCAACAACCUGCGAAUACGGACUUCCUGGCUGAUGGUGUAAAAUUGGGAUGAUUUUUUCAAUGAGGAGAGUGG